GCGCCGCGCGAGCCGGAGGCCACUCGGUCGAUUUAUCCAACAAGUGUCUGUCCGUGUCUCUCUCUCUCAGGACAGCUCAACGAUUUUUCUCUCCCUUUGAAAUGUCAAUAACGCACGUUGGUUACAUUCAAACGACAGCGGAGCGGAGGAACGUGUUGACAUAAACCUUGUUUGUUUAUUGACCAGACGCGCCAACUUUUAGGGAAUAAUUGAAAAUGGCGAUGUGCUUGUUAAAACGUUUGCGGCGUCCCGGUCGUUAAAGUGUCAGCGGUUGUCAUUUUUCCUUUGGUUUUCUUUAUUUCAAGUUGGAUUUUAGUUUGAUUAAUUUAAUUUAGUUACCACUAAUCACAAACGAUUCGGUAAAGAGAAGUGUUGGCGGAGAGAGUUUUGACAGGAAAGUAAUGGAAAAUGAUGAGCCUGCAUCACCGGACCCGAGCCAUGACAGCACUCAGAGUAAAAGAGGAAAUCCAGUGCUCAAGAAAUCCCAUCUAAAAAACCACCUAAUCUCUCUGUCAUCUCCCAACCUGCGACAGCAUCAUCUGUUCAGAAGUUUGAUUAACUGUGAAACAGAGCUGUCAACCAUACUGAGUGAUUUUGACGUAUAGCUUCACCAGAGAAAGACAGUUCGUUCACACAUGCUGUGAAGAUGAUGCGAGGUAGGCAUUUAUCUUUUGUGUUUGGCCUAACAAGUAUGUAUUUUUUUACUGAUGUUUGUGUGGGUGUGUGACAAAUGUUUGUUUACAUCACAUUGGAUGCAUCCUUGUGUCUUUGAAAGUAAUGAGUUUCAUUUUGGUUAGAGCAACUUUUAAGUUGCGAAACACUUUUGUGUCCAUUUUGCUCUUCCGUUUCGCUCAUCAAACUCGAGUUUAGGACAUAGUGAUUGUAUAUCCAUUGCUUUCAGGCUCUCGGUUUGACCUUUUUGGAGUUUCACUGUGUUGUGUCGUAGUUGUACACGACUCAUGCCGCCAUAUUAACACGUCCGAGACUUCAGAGAUGGAUGAUGCACAUCAUGGACAUCUUGAAGGAUGGGGUGGGAUGAUAUGCAGGAUUUUGUAGGAAUACAGAAAGCAGUGUAGAUCUGAUGUGCUUUGAUUUUGAAAUCAGGACUUUU